rnacentral:rRNA from 1 species
UACAGAGGGUGCAAGCGUUAAUCGGAAUUACUGGGCGUAAAGCGUGCGUAGUCGGUUAUCUAAGUCAGGUGUGAAAUCCCCGGGCUCAACCUGGGAACUGCGUUUGAAACUGGGAGACUUGAGUGUGGCAGAGGGGGGUGGAAUUCCACGUGUAGCAGUGAAAUGCGUAGAUAUGUGGAGGAACACCGAUGGCGAAGGCAGCCCCCUGGGUUAACACUGACGCUCAUGCACGAAAGCGUGGGGAGCAAACAGG